rnacentral:rRNA from 1 species
UCCAUAGCGUAUAUUAAAGUUGUUGCAGUUAAAAAGCUCGUAGUUGAAUUUCGGGAUUAAUAGGUUGGUCAUGCCCUCGGUAUGUACUGAUUUCAUUGGUUCUCACCUUCUAAGGAAUCAUAAUGUCAUUCGUUUGAUGUUGUGGGGAAUUAGGACUGUUACCUUGAAAAAAUUAGAGUGUUUAAAGCAGGCUAACGCUUGAAUACAUUAGCAUGGAAUAAUGAAAUAGGACAUCCGAUUCUAUUUUGUUGGUUUCUAGGAUCGAUGUAAUGAUUAAUAGGGAUAGUUGGGGGCAUUAGUAUUCAAUUGUCAGAGGUGAAAUUCUUGGAUUUAUUGAAGACUAACUACUGCGAAAGCAUUUGUCAAGGAUGUUUUCAUUAAUCAAGAACAAAAGUUAGGAGAUCGAAGACGAUCAGAUACUGUCGUAGUCUUAACCAUAAACUAUGCCGACUAGGGAUCAGAUGAUGCUUAUUUUUUAAUAACUCAUUCGGCACCUUACG